AUUGAACGCUGGCGGCAUGCCUUACACAUGCAAGUCGAACGGCAGCGCGGACUUCGGUCUGGCGGCGAGUGGCGAACGGGUGAGUAAUACAUCGGAACGUACCCUGUUGUGGGGGAUAACUAGUCGAAAGAUUAGCUAAUACCGCAUACGACCUGAGGGUGAAAGUGGGGGACCGGAAACGGCCUCAUGCAGCAGGAGCGGCCGAUGGCUGAUUAGCUAGUUGGUGGGGUAAAGGCCCACCAAGGCGACGAUCAGUAGCUGGUCUGAGAGGACGAUCAGCCACACUGGGACUGAGACACGGCCCAGACUCCUACGGGAGGCAGCAGUGGGGAAUUUUGGACAAUGGGGGCAACCCUGAUCCAGCAAUGCCGCGUGUGUGAAGAAGGCCUUCGGGUUGUAAAGCACUUUUGUCCGGAAAGAAAUCGCGCUGGUUAAUACCUGGCGUGGAGGACGGUACCGGAAGAAUAAGCACCGGCUAACUACGU
rnacentral:rRNA from 1 species